GAAGCUUGUGUGGCUGGACCUAAGGAAGCAAAGGAAGAGUCCUGGUGAGAGGUAAGACAACGCCUACAUCACAAAAGCUCUGUGAGGCCAUAUGACACAGGCUCCACCAUACACCAUCGGGCUAUGGGGAGCCACAAAGAGGUUUUAAGCCCAUCUGGGUGGAAGGGUGAGGGGGCAGGGCAAGCUGGCUGAAGAGCAGGGUCCCCAAGUCUACCUGUUCCCCCCCAUUCAGAUAACCUUCAAACUAUCCUGAACACCUACGCAUCCCACCUGAGAUUUAAAGAGGGAAGAGCGGCUGCUACAGAGAAGGGGUUUUGCCUCUAACAAGAUCAUCACCUAUGCUUAGACCUACCUCUAAAGUGGACCUUUUAAAAUCCUCACCUCCCAGUAAAUGAUUCCGUGUGUGCCAAAUGUGUUUGGGCCUAAGAAAAUCAGAGACUCCAAGGAAUUCAGUGAUUUACUGAAGAUCUAUGACUGAUUUGUUCUAGAACUUCAUUCUCUUCAUUCCCAAGGAGCAUAGUGAAUACGGAUUGUUCCUGGGUGCCUCAGGGAAACAACAUCUCCAGGCCUCGAAGAUAGGCAGCCUAACUCUAAAAGAAGAGGUGAAGACAAAGAAGUUUGGCAUCUUCAGCAGAGAAGAGGGUUAGGAGAAGAUAAUUGGGUGUGUUUUACUUGUCUUUACAUGUUGGAGAAUAAAGUCUUAUCUUACACA